rnacentral:rRNA from 1 species
GACGAACGCUGGCGGCGUGCUUAACACAUGCAAGUCGAACGGAAAGGCCCUGCUUUUGUGGGGUGCUCGAGUGGCGAACGGGUGAGUAACACGUGAGUAACCUGCCCUUGACUUUGGGAUAACUUCAGGAAACUGGGGCUAAUACCGGAUAGGAGCUCCUGCUGCAUGGUGGGGGUUGGAAAGUUUCGGCGGUUGGGGAUGGACUCGCGGCUUAUCAGCUUGUUGGUGGGGUAGUGGCUUACCAAGGCUUUGACGGGUAGCCGGCCUGAGAGGAUGACCGGCCACAUUGGGACUGAGAUACGGCCCAGACUCCUACGGGAGGCAGCAGUGGGAAUAUUGCACAAUGGGCGGAAGCCUGAUGCAGCAACGCCGCGUGCGGGAUGACGGCCUUCGGGUUGUAAACCGCUUUCGCCUGUGACGAAGCGUGAGUGACGGUAAUGGGUAAAGAAGCACCGGCUAACUACGUG